GAAAAGACCUCAGUCACUCUGCGUUGUCCUCACUCUGUGGAGGGUGAAGUGACGUGGAGCAGAGAGAUUGAUGGACGUAAAGUUCUCAUUCUGACAGCUGGUGCUGACCGAGACAUAAGACACAAUGACCCGGGCAAACGAUACAGUUCAUUCGCAGAUAAGUCACUGUACAUUCACAGAGUUAACAUCUCAGACGCUGGAAGAUACUUGUGUAAUAAUGAACCAGUCGUGGAGCUGACGGUGAUCCCAUCAGGAGCAACCAGACUUGAUCCUACAGAGAGGACCAGCGUCACUAUCACAUGCCCUCAUGAUGUUGGAGGAUCACAUAUUACUACAUGGAGCAGCAGAGGCUUUCGUGACUUACAAUAUCAAAGAGGGUUUCAUGUUUCACCUGUUGACCAGACGUUGACCGUAGCAAGCGUGGAACUUGGUAACUCUGGACUUUACUACUGUAAUGGAAAACCAGCUGUGUACCUGAAUGUGAUCAAAGAUAACAAGACACCACCGACGACCUCAACUACAGCAACAACAACUGUGACAGCAG